CAAGAACCCUGCGAAGAAUUCUUGCAGUUCCAAGCAAUGCUGAUUUUUCUAGAUGUUCUACCUUCACAAUUGCACCAAUCAUUUUCAACCAUGUUGGUAUUUGAGUGCUGAUACUUAUUAUUGCGCUAUUUGUUUUUGUUACCAUCUCU